rnacentral:rRNA from 1 species
UACAGAGGUCCCAAGCGUUGUUCGGAUUCAUUGGGCGUAAAGGGUGCGUAGGUGGCGCCGUAAGUGGGGUGUGAAAUUUCGGAGCUUAACUCCGAAACUGCAUUCCAUACUGCGGUGCUUGAGGACUGGAGAGGAGACUGGAAUUCAUGGUGUAGCAGUGAAAUGCGUAGAGAUCAUGAGGAAGACCAGUGGCGAAGGCGGUUGCCCGGAGCUUUGCUGACGCUGAUGCGCGAAAGCGUGGGGAGCGAUCCGG